GACGAACGCUGGCGGCGUGCUUAACACAUGCACGUCGAGCGAGCGGCGGACGGGUGAGUCAUGUAUGGGGACUGCCCGAUAGAGGGGGAUACCUACUGGAAACGGUGGCUAAUACCGCAUACUAUCGGAUAACCCAUAUGGGAUUAGCUAGUAGUUGGGGUAAAGGCUCACCUAGGCGACGAUCUCUAGCUGGUCUGAGAGGAUGAUCAGCCACACUGGGACUGAGACACGGCCCAGACUCCUACGGAGGCAGCAGUGGGGAAUAUUGCACAAUGGGCGCAAGCCUGAUGCAGCCAUGCCGCGUGUAUGAAGAAGGCCUUAGGGUUGUAAAGUACUUUCAGCGGGGAGGCGUUACCCGCAGAAGAAGCACCGGCUAACUCCGUGCCAGCAGCCGCGGUAAUUC
rnacentral:rRNA from 1 species